CCUACGGGAGGCAGCAGUGGGGGAUAUUGCACAAUGGGGGGAACCCUGAUGCAGCGACGCCGCGUGGGUGAAGAAGCGCCUCGGCGCGUAAAGCCCUGUCAGCAGGGAAGAAAAUGACGGUACCUGAAGAAGAAGCCCCGGCUAACUACGUGCCAGCAGCCGCGGUAAUACGUAGGGGGCAAGCGUUAUCCGGAUUUACUGGGUGUAAAGGGGGCGCAGACGGCGAUGCAAGCCAGGAGUGAAAGCCCGGGGCCCAACCCCGGGACUGCUCUUGGAAAUGCGUGGCUGGAGUGCAGGAGGGGCAGGCGGAAUUCCUGGUGUAGCGGUGGAAUGCGUAGAUAUCAGGAGGAACACCGGUGGCGAAGGCGGCCUGCUGGACUGCAACUGACGUUGAGGCCCGAAAGCGUGGGGAGCAAACAGGAUUAGAUACCCGUGUAGUC
rnacentral:rRNA from 1 species